ACAGCAGCACUAGCCAAUCAUGAGAGUCUGUGAGCUGAUGUAUGCGGAAGAUGGUGGAUAGCACUUUCCUAGUCUGAGAGCAGUUGCCUCAUUAAAUCAGCAAACCGAAGAGAAGCACCAUGAAGGAAUCCAUGUGACAGCUGGGAUCAUCGCCAGGCUAUGAGGUCCGUCUCCACCCACGGCUCCCCUUCACCCUCCAUCCUGACACCGGCCCCGGGAAGGGAAACGCUUAUGUCCAAUUCUCUUCCUUUAUGGAAAAUUGUGACCGUGCCAGGAAUACGGUCUGCGUGUUUAUGAUAAAACAUAACGUGCUUUGUGACCGUGCAUGGAAAUGUAACGAUCUAACCGUUAAUACAUGCAUUUCAAUAACAACUCACACAACUCAGCUUGAGAAGGAAGAGCCGCUUUCCCCCUAAGGCAAUCACGAAGACUCAGAGUCUACUUAUUGUUAAUCCUGUCCAUUCAGGAGAAAUAAACAUCUGCG
ensembl:lncRNA